UACAGAGGUCUCAAGCGUUGUUCGGAUUCAUUGGGCGUAAAGGGUGCGUAGGUGGCGUCGUAAGUUGGGUGUGAAAUUUCGGAGCUUAACUCCGAAACUGCAUUCGAUACUGCGGUGCUUGAGGACUGGAGAGGAGACUGGAAUUUACGGUGUAGCAGUGAAAUGCGUAGAGAUCGUAAGGAAGACCAGUGGCGAAGGCGGGUCUCUGGACAGUUCCUGACACUGAGGCACGAAGGCCAGGGGAGCAAACGGG
rnacentral:rRNA from 1 species